UACAGAGGGUGCGAGCGUUAAUCGGAAUUACUGGGCGUAAAGCGCGCGUAGGCGGCUUUGCAAGUCGGGUGUGAAAUCCCCAGGCUUAACCUGGGAACUGCAUUCGAGACUGCAUUGCUAGAGUAUGGGAGAGGGAAGUGGAAUUUCAGGUGUAGCGGUGAAAUGCGUAGAUAUCUGAAGGAACAUCAGUGGCGAAAGCGGCUUACUGGUCCGGUUCUGACGCUGAGGCGCGAAAGCGUGGGGAGCAAACAGG
rnacentral:rRNA from 1 species